rnacentral:rRNA from 1 species
UACAGAGGGUGCGAGCGUUGUCCGGAAUCACUGGGCGUAAAGGGCGCGUAGGCGGUCUCUUAAGCGUGUGGUGAAAGCCCGGGGCUCAACUCCGGGUCGGCCGUGCGAACUGGGGGACUGGAGCUUGUCAGAGGCAGGCGGAAUUCCGGGUGUAGCGGUGGAAUGCGUAGAGAUCCGGAAGAACACCGGUGGCGAAAGCGGCCUGCUGGGACAGUGCUGACGCUGAGGCGCGACAGCGUGGGGAGCAAACAGG